GCACACUUAGCUCAGUUGGAUAGAGCAAGGACCUUCUAAGCCCUAGGUCACAGGUUCGAAUCCUGUAGUGUGUA
rnacentral:tRNA from 2 species